rnacentral:rRNA from 1 species
CCUACGGGGUGCUGCAGUGGGGAAUAUUGGACAAUGGGCGAAAGCCUGAUCCAGCCAUGCCGCGUGUGUGAAGAAGGCCUUCGGGUUGUAAAGCACUUUCAGUGGGGAAGAAAGCCUUGGGGCUAAUACCCUCGAGGAAGGACAUCACCCACAGAAGAAGCACCGGCUAACUCCGUGCCAGCAGCCGCGGUAAUACGGAGGGUGCGAGCGUUAAUCGGAAUUACUGGGCGUAAAGCGCGCGUAGGCGGUCUGAUAAGCCGGUUGUGAAAGCCCCGGGCUCAACCUGGGAACGGCAUCCGGAACUGUCAGGCUAGAGUGCAGGAGAGGAAGGUAGAAUUCCCGGUGUAGCGGUGAAAUGCGUAGAGAUCGGGAGGAAUACCAGUGGCGAAGGCGGCCUUCUGGACUGACACUGACGCUGAGGUGCGAAAGCGUGGGUAGCAAACAGGAUUAGAUACCCGUGAGUC